rnacentral:tRNA from 1 species
CAAGUUAAAGCUUGUAUAAGUAUUUUAUUUACACUAAAAAGUUAAUUGUGAAACUCAAUUUAACUUGA